rnacentral:rRNA from 1 species
CCGUUGGAGACCACAACGUUGAUAGGUGGGGUGUGUAAGCGUAGCGAUACGUUGAGCUAACCCAUACUAAUUACCCGUGAGGCUUAACCAU